GUUGAUGGCUGUACUAUCCUGAAUGGGCCUGUCUUGCACACUAAGCAGGGUCAGGCCUGGUUAGUACUUGGAUGGGAGACUUCUCAGCUCUACUGGAUGCUGGGUU
rnacentral:rRNA from 1 species